CUAAAUAAACAGCUUCGAGGUGUUCCGGCUAAGGGCAACUAUGCCGGUUUAUCCUGAGAGUUCUCUCACAGGGCAGCGGGGGAAACGCCGCUGCCUCCCAUGACGCAGGAGAAUCAUCCUGCCAGGAAAGAAGCCUGAAAAGCAGAUGG
rnacentral:ncRNA from 2 species